CACGUAGGGGGCAAGCGUUGUCCGGAUUUAUUGGGCGUAAAGAGCUCGUAGGUGAUUCGGUAAGUCAGGUGUGAAACCUCCAGGCUCAACCUGGAGACGCCACUUGAUACUGCUGUGACUGGAGUCCGGUAGGGGAGCGUGGAAUUCCUGGUGUAGCGGUGAAAUGCGCAGAUAUCAGGAGGAACACCAGCGGCGAAGGCGGCGCUCUGGGCCGGUACUGACACUGAGGAGCGAAAGCGUGGGUAGCAAACAGG
rnacentral:rRNA from 1 species